rnacentral:rRNA from 1 species
UGCCAGCAGCCGCGGUAAUACGUAGGUGGCGAGCGUUGUCCGGAAUUACUGGGUGUAAAGGGCGAGUAGGCGGAUUUGAAAGUCAGGUGUGAAAUACCCGGGCUCAACCCGGGAACUGCAUUUGAAACUUCGGAUCUUGAGUGAUGGAGAGGGAAGCGGAAUUCCUAGUGUAGCGGUGAAAUGCGUAGAUAUUAGGAGGAACACCAGUGGCGAAGGCGGCUUUCUGGACAUCAACUGACGCUGAGGCGCGAAAGCGUGGGGAGCAAACAGGAUUAGAUACCCUGGUAGUCCACGCUGUAAACGAUGAUUACUAGGUGUAGGGGGUAUCGACUCCCCCUGUGCCGCAGUUAACACAAUAAGUAAUCCACCUGGGGAGUACGGCCGCAAGGUUGAAACUUAAAGGAAUUGGCGGGGGA